UACGGAGGGUGCAAGCGUUAUCCGGAUUCACUGGGUUUAAAGGGAGCGUAGGCGGGUUGGUAAGUCCGUGGUGAAAUCUCCGAGCUUAACUUGGAAACUGCCAUGGAUACUAUCAGUCUUGAAUAUUGUGGAGGUCAGCGGAAUAUGUCAUGUAGCGGUGAAAUGCUUAGAUAUGACAUAGAACACCAAUUGCGAAGGCAGCUGGCUACGCAUAUAUUGACACUGAGGCUCGAAAGCGUGGGGAUCAAACAGG
rnacentral:rRNA from 1 species